ACAGCAGUAGCCACGGUAACACAGAGGGUGCGAGCGUUAAUCGGAUUUACUGGGCGUAAAGCGUGCGUAGGCGGCUUCUUAAGUCGGAUGUGAAAUCCCUGAGCUUAACUUAGGAAUUGCAUUCGAUACUGGGAAGCUAGAGUAUGGGAGAGGAUGGUAGAAUUCCAGGUGUAGCGGUGAAAUGCGUAGAGAUCUGGAGGAAUACCGAUGGCGAAGGCAGCCAUCUGGCCUAAUACUGACGCUGAGGUACGAAAGCAUGGGGAGCAAACAGGAUUAGAUACCCGCGUAGUCCCUGUCUCUUAUAC
rnacentral:rRNA from 1 species